rnacentral:rRNA from 1 species
AAACUUUCAACAACGGAUCUCUUGGUUCUGGCAUCGAUGAAGAACGCAGCAAAAUGCGAUAAGUAAUGUGAAUUGCAGAAUUCAGUGAAUCAUCGAAUCUUUGAACGCACAUUGCCGCCGCCAGCAUUCUGGCGGGCAUGCCUGUUCGAGCGUCAUUU